rnacentral:tRNA from 1 species
GGGCCCAUAGCUCAGUUGGAAGAGCAACCGGCUCAUAACCGGUUGGUCCCUGGUUCGAGCCCGGGUGGGCCCACCA